AUUGAACGCUGGCGGCAGGCCUAACACAUGCAAGUCGAACGAGUGGCGGACGGGUGAGUAAUGUCUGGGAAACUGCCUGAUGGAGGGGGAUAACUACUGGAAACGGUAGCUAAUACCGCAUACCCUCAGAUGUGCCCAGAUGGGAUUAGCUAGUUGGUGGGGUAACGGCUCACCAAGGCGACGAUCCCUAGCUGGUCUGAGAGGAUGACCAGUCACACUGGAACUGAUACACGGUCCAGACUCCUACGGGAGGCAGCAGUGGGGAAUAGUGUACAAUGGGCGAAAGCCUGAUGCAGCCAUGCCGCGUGUGUGAAGAAGGCCUUCGGAUUGUAAAGCACUUUCAGUUGGGAGGCGUUACCAACAGAAGAAGCACCGGCUAACUCCGUGCCAGCAGCCGCGGUAAUAC
rnacentral:rRNA from 1 species